rnacentral:rRNA from 1 species
UCCAAACGUUAUUCGGAAUCACUGGGCUUAAAGGGUGCGUAGGCGGCUUGGCAAGUUGGGUGUGAAAUCCCUCGGCUCAACCGAGGAACUGCGCUCAAAACUGCCAAGCUAGAGGGAGAUAGAGGUGAGCGGAACUAAUGGUGGAGCGGUGAAAUGCGUUGAUAUCAUUAGGAACACCUGUGGCGAAAGCGGCUCACUGGGUCUUUUCUGACGCUGAGGCACGAAAGCUAGGGUAGCGAACGGGAUUAGAUACCCCGGUAGUCCUAGCUGUAAACGAUGAGCACUAGGUUGGAGGCUCCUCCAUAGGCUUCCGACCGAAGCGAAAGUGUUAAGUGCUCCGCCUGGGGAGUAUGGUCGCAAGGCUGAAACUCAAAGGAAUUGACGGGGGCUCACACAAGCGGUGGAGGAUGUGGCUUAAUUCGAGGAUACGCGAAGAACCUUAUCCUGGUCUUGGCAUGUACGGAUGGGCUGCCUGAAAGGGAUAGUCCCUGCCUUCGGGUGAAACGUACACAGGUGCUGCAUGGCCGUCGUCAGCUCGUGUCGUGAGAUGUCGGGUUAAGUCCCUUAACGAGCGAAACCCUUGUUCCUAGUUGCCAGCACGUAAUGGUGGGGACUCUAGGGAGACUGCCGGUGUUAAACCGGAGGAAGGUGGGGAUGACGUCAGGUCCUCAUGGCCUUUAUGACCAGGGCUGCACACGUCCUACAAUGCGGUGUACAGAGGGAAGCGAACUCGCGAGAGCAAGCAAAUCCCAAAAAGCACCGCCCAGUUCGGAUUGCAGGCUGCAACUCGCCUGCAUGAAGCCGGAAUCGCUAGUAAUCGUGGGUCAGCAUACCACGGUGAAUAUGUUCCUGAGCCUUGUAGACACCGCCCG